CGUGAUUCCACCGCGUUUUCACUCCCAGGGUGUUUCCAGGCUGAUUUAAAACCGUCAGGGAAGGAAAACUAUUCCAAAAAUAUACAUUAAAAUAAAUAUAUGAAAAACGACACGCGCGCGCUUGUACGCGAAAUACGUAUGCUAGUAUGAUAUAAGUUUGAGAAGUGGUAUAUUAUGGUAUGUGUUAGUUGCCGAAUCCACCAACAGUCAGCGCUGUGUCCUUAGAGAACUUAUCGGGCUGGCUCAGCGAGAAUCUCAUUACCCUGUACUUGAAAUUAUAAUUUUGAAGGUCAACAAAUUACAGCGUUAUCUACAAUGAUUUCGAUGAAUAUAAAUAGAGCUUUUUGGCAAUACCCGGACACUCUUCAAAUCUCCUUGGUAUUGUCAACUUCUUCGUUUUGGUUAUACCUCUUUAACGUGUCAUUUCGAAAUGAAAUUUCUCCAGUUAUUUAUCUUCUUCACUUUUUUCAUUUCUGUCACUUUGGCGGCGACUACAUAUUAUGAAGGAUGCCUGACAGCCGGUAAAUGUGAUAAAAAUUUGAAGAGGGGACCGUUUUGUUGUAGUGACUAUAAAUGCAUGAAAAUAAUUAACGAUUUGUAUACGUGUCAACCGUUAAACCCUAAAGAUGACGAUUAUUAUUGGAAGUAGUUAAAAUGUACACCAUUGUGUACUUAUUAUAGCCAACAGCUAUAAAUAUUACAUACACACGAGAUAAAUAAAGCUCAAUUGAAAUG